rnacentral:lncRNA from 1 species
GAGGCGUUUAGAAUGGAGGAGAGGAGCUGGGCUCAUCUGCGAGCUUGAGUGGAACAGCAGUGGGGACAGGAGAGCUGCGACAUUGGAGAAGUUCCAAAGAGGCUGUUUCCUUGCUUAGCCACGGGUGGAAGUCACAUCCACUGAACUGUCACCUGGCAGGCAUUAUAAAUUAAGGAGGAAUAGUAACAAAGAGCUUGAAGACAUGCACAGCUCACAGGCCCCGGGUGGAGGCUGGCGACAUCAGACAGACAGAACCAAGACAUCUGAGGGGCAACCAGGAGGUGCGUGUGGCUGCAGAGCACACAGUUCCUUGAAAUGUCUUGGAUGAAAAUUGGGUUCUGCACACUGGAUCUGGCUGGUUGAUUCUGCCUGCGAAGACUGAAGUUGGCUUUGAUGCCUAUAGAUGCACUCACCCUUCGCUCGGGUUCCAGAGGCCAUGUGGUGUAUGGGGAAGGCAAUGUAGAUGGUGGGAAAAUCACUUGACUUCUCUUGCUCAUCUGUCAAAUGAAACUGUUACCAUCCUUCCUUCGUGCAUCCAAAUAUAGAUGUAAGGAGCACAUGUGAUUAUACUGCACACACCAACAGUUCCUGACUAUCCAAGUGCUGUAUAAUUAUAAGGUUUUAUAGUCAUUAUUCUGCUGCAUGUUUCUUACUAGUGAUUUACCCGUAUUGCACAAUUAAAAUUAUUUGAAAAGCUGU